rnacentral:tRNA from 1 species
AAGGAUUUAAGUUAAUAAAACUAUCAACCUUCAAAGUUGAAAAUAAAUUAUAUUUAAGCCUUA